rnacentral:rRNA from 1 species
CCUACGGGAGGCAGCAGUAGGGAAUCUUCCGCAAUGGACGAAAGUCUGACGGAGCAACGCCGCGUGAACGAUGAAGGCCUUCGGGUCGUAAAGUUCUGUUGUCAGGGAAGAACAAGUACCAGAGUAACUGCUGGUACCUUGACGGUACCUAACCAGAAAGCCACGGCUAACUACGUGCCAGCAGCCGCGGUAAU